GACGUGGGGGGCGAGCGUUGUCCGGAAUUACUGGGCGUAAAGCGCGUGUAGGCUGCUUCGCAAGUCGGGUGUGAAAGCCCUGGGCUCAACCUAGGAAGUGCACUCGAAACUGCGAAGCUUGAGUCCUGGAGAGGAAGGCGGAAUUCUCGGUGUAGAGGUGAAAUUCGUAGAUAUUCGGAAGAACACCAGUGGCGAAGGCGGCUCACUGGCCCGUUACCGACGCUCAGGCGCGACAGCGUGGGGAGCAAACAGG
rnacentral:rRNA from 1 species